rnacentral:misc_RNA from 1 species
GAUGAAGAACGUAGCGAAAUGCGAUACGUAAUGUGAAUUGCAGAAUUCAGUGAAUCAUCGAGUCUUUGAACGCACAUUGCGCCCCCUGGUAUUCCGGGGGGCAUGCCUGUCCGAGCGUCAUUGCUGCCCUCAAGCACGGCUUGUGUGUUGGGCCCCCGCCCCCCGGUUCCCGGGGGGCGGGCCCGAAAGGCAGCGGCGGCACCGCGUCCGGUCCUCGAGCGUAUGGGGCUUCGUCACCCGCUCCGUAGGCCCGGCCGGCGCCCGCCGGCGAGCCCCCCUCAAUCUUUCCAGGUUGACCUCGGAUCAGGUAGGGAUACCCGCUGAACUUAAGCAUAUCAAUAAGCGGAGGA